GACUACUGGGGUAUCUAAGCCCGUUUGCUCCCCUAGCUUUCGCUCCUCAGCGUCAGAAACCGACCAGACCACCGCCUUCGCCGCCGGUGUUCCUCCUGAUAUCAACGCAUUUCACCGCUCCACCAGGAAUUCCGUGGUCCCCUUCGGUCCUCAAGCAAGACAGUUUAGAGCGCAGUUCCUCGGUUGGGCCGAGGGAUUUCACACCCUACUUUUCUCACCGCCUACGAGCUCUUUAUGCCCAGUGAUUCCGAACAACGGUCGCCACCUUCGUCUUACCGCGGCUGCUGGCACGAAGUUAGCCGUGGCUUCCUCCCACGCCUUUGUCAAGACCCAGAGCUUUUAACUCCGUUUCUUUCAUAACGUGUGACAGCGGUUUACAACCCGAAGGCCUUCAUCCCGCACGCGGCGUCGCUCCGUCAGGGUUUCCCCCAUUGCGGAAGAUUCUCGACUGCAGCCCCCCGUAGG
rnacentral:rRNA from 1 species